GCCUCUGGCUUCUGAUAUACCAUCAGAAUUGGACUCCUACAGGGACUACUCUCAGAUAUCUUGCUGUUGGCCAGAGUCGUGGAGAGCCACUGGCUUUGGAUUUGAUAUACAGGAUGGACUUGUCUCCUCUGCUUUUGAUCAGGGCCAUCUUGGUCAGCUUGCAAGUCUGCCACUGAGCUAUCCUUCCCCUUCAUCAGAGGCGAUGAAUCCAAGAACACAUCGUUCUGAGGAUGUGGGCUGAGAAGGAAUUCCAAACGUUAGCAUCAUCCACACGUCCAGCCGGUAAUACCCACAGAAAGAUGGCAGGUACUACUGUCUCCACCGAUGCUGAUCUGUCGCUGAUGUCGAUCUAGCUCCAUGAACAGCCUUUCAGUGACCCAUGGGCUCACAGGAUGUGGCACAUGCAGGGACCGUGAAAGGCAUUAAUGUUCUCAUGUUAAUUUUCAUCAGAAACAGCCUCCUGGUUUCUAAGAUGCUGAAAGGUUUACACAGGCACACCUUGCUUCUCUUUGCUUCCUGAUGUUUCUGAGAGUAAGUCAAAGCCUACAGGGAUGCUGAAUAAUUGAUUUCAAACGUCCUCUGGAAUUCUGGCUUGGGCCAAGUUUGUCUACAGAGCAUGUUCAUCGAUCAAGUAAGGUACACAAUGCAGAGACCGUAAUGUCAUCCUUUUCACAUUUAAAAA